GCCUCGUUAGCGCAGUAGGCAGCGCGUCAGUCUCAUAAUCAAAUCUAGAAAUCUGAAGGUCGUGAGUUCGAUCAUUACACUGGGCA
rnacentral:tRNA from 1 species